rnacentral:rRNA from 1 species
GGCCGCGGGAAUUCGAUUCAGGCCUAACACAUGCAAGUCGAACGAUGAAACUCUAGCUUGCUAGAGAUGAUUAGUGGCGGACGGGUGAGUAACAUUUAGGAAUCUGCCUAGUAGUGGGGGAUAGCUCGGGGAAACUCGAAUUAAUACCGCAUACGACCUACGGGUGAAAGGGGGCGCAAGCUCUUGCUAUUAGAUGAGCCUAAAUCAGAUUAGCUAGUUGGUGGGGUAAAGGCCUACCAAGGCGACGAUCUGUAACUGGUCUGAGAGGAUGAUCAGUCACACCGGAACUGAGACACGGUCCGGACUCCUACGGGAGGCAGCAGUGGGGAAUAUUGGACAAUGGGGGCAACCCUGAUCCAAAAAGGCCGCGUGUGUGAAGAAGGCCUUUUGGUUGUAAUCAAAUGGAGCAGGGAGGAGAGGCUAAUGGUUAAUACCCAUUAGAUUAGACGUUACCUGCAGAAU